rnacentral:rRNA from 1 species
AUUGAACGCUGGCGGAAUGCUUUACACAUGCAAGUCGAACGGCAGCACGGGGGCAGCCCUGGUGGCGAGUGGCGAACGGGUGAGUAAUACAUCGGAACGUGCCCGGUCGUGGGGGAUAACGUAGCGAAAGUUACGCUAAUACCGCAUACGAUCUGAGGAUGAAAGCGGGGGACCUUCGGGCCUCGCGCGAUCGGAGCGGCCGAUGUCGGAUUAGGUAGUUGGUGGGGUAAAGGCCUACCAAGCCGACGAUCUGUAGCUGGUCUGAGAGGACGACCAGCCACACUGGGACUGAGACACGGUCCAGACUCCUACGGGAGGCAGCAGUGGGGAAUUUUGGACAAUGGGCGCAAGCCUGAUCCAGCCAUGCCGCGUGCAGGACGAAGGCCUUCGGGUUGUAAACUGCUUUUGUACGGAACGAAAAGGCUCUGGCUAAUACCUGGGGCUCAUGACGGUACCGUAAGAAUAAGCACCGGCUAACUACGUG